CAUAAUUGUGUCAUAUCUUUUACGGCGCACGUUUUAAGCACGCCGUAAAAACAUACAAAUAAAUCUUUUUUACGGCUUACAAUAAAGCAUGCCGUAAAAACAUCUCUAAAAAAACUUAAUUAUGGCUCGCAAAGAAGCAUGCCGUAAAUAAUGAUUUUUAAGGCGCGAAAUUUUCACAGAAAGAUUUGGUUUCCCUCUUAAGUUUCUCUUUCCUCUUUUCUCAACUUUCCCGAAAUUUACUUACUUUUGUUAGUUUUCUAUUCUAAGAAAGUCAUGCCCUUUGCAAACUCCUCACCAGUUCGCAAUGCCCUAAACCUAAUAGCCAAAAUCCCAGACCUUCCCAUGAGUUCUCCUCCGCAAGUUCUUCUUCCCGUCUAAUCACCCAGUUCUCUUGCAAAAAUCUCAACUCUUCCCCGCCCAAGUUCUUCUCUUGGGCUAUCAGAUUUCGCGACAGGGGUUGUGUGUUCAAUCGAGGACGAAGAGAGCAUCUCAGAUUGUGAUUUCUCAUCAUAAAUUCAGAUGCGACGGAGUUUCUAAACUUGGUGGAUGACUCGGUUCAAGCAUAUCAAAGUCUUAUGCACGAUUUUGAUGAGUUUUUGGAGCACUAUGACAAGGUAGAUGCAUUGAGUACAAGUGCUGGAUAUAGGUUCUCAUUAUUUAAUGCAAAGUGUGCUGGGAUUAGAAGCAAAAGGACUCUUGCAGACACGUGGUUGUUCGUCACUGUUGCUUAGUUUUAUGAAGUUACUCUUACAGUGCAAUUCAUUCACUUAGAAGCUACACUUUUUCAACCCUUGGAGAUAUCAAUAUUGACAGUUCAGUGCUAGAGUUGGUAAUAAAGGCAACUUUUCUGUGGAAUGAAAAAUUAAAUGAUCACCUCCAUUAUCAUGCUUUCCGUGAAAUGCAUUAACUACAGGUACUGCCAAAAUUUGUGGUGUAUGCAGAUUAAUGCCUUAUGUUGGUACUGCUGGUAAAUUGCUCGAACUAAUUGGGAGAUACAAAUUGCAGUUGGAUAGUGGUGCUUGAAACCUUGCAAUUACCCUACAAUAUAUUUUUGAACUGUAAUAUGUUACUUUUAAUUAAACUCAAGUUUGCAGGGACAUGCAAAUGCAUGUAAUUGUUUUGUAGUUUAGUUGCAUAUGGCAUGGUAACAAGUUUGUACAGAUAUCCUAUUUCAAUUAAUGUAUCAUAUAUGUUAAUUCACC